rnacentral:lncRNA from 1 species
AUUUAUGCUACCGUAACCUACAUAUUAACAGAAUACACAAUAUAUUUGUAAUCAUUUGUAUAUUAUAAGUAAAUAAAUAUGUUGGUUUUUUUUUGUAUAUUUUUAAUAAUUUUUAAACAUAAUGUAAGAUUCUAUUGUUAAUUAUAGCAAUUUUUAUUAAGAUAGUCUGAUACUUUAUUGUUUUAGUUGGUAAUUUUAAUGAAUUUAUUGGAUUUGGUUUUUUAUUUUCAAUUUAGAAACAUAAGAAAAGAUAAUCUAAAAUGAAAUUGGUCCACAAGCUAGUUAAAACUUCUUAAAUUACACUAUUUAGACUUCAUUGCAAUCAUGAUCUUCAAAUGUGUUAUGAUUCCAAACUAUUUGCAAGUCAACUUGUUAAGUAAUUCAGUGUCAAAUUAAUGGUUCGGUUAAAAUAUAAGCAACGCAAAAAUUUAUUUAAUAGGAUACAUAUGUAUAAACCAAUAAUAUGUCUCCACAUUGUAGAUCUGCGCAAAUUGUUUUUUAUUGAUGAAACAUUUCUAUGGCAAAUAUUUUCUUAUACAAAUGAUACAUGGCAAUGCACAAUGAGCAAAAUAAGCCAUCCCCACGUUAACGAUGAAAAAAAUACCCAACAUUCACAUUUCUUAACCAUAAAAAUUUUAAAUUUCAGUACGUUUACCCAACUUAAAAUAUUAUCUUAAAAAUUAAGGAUUGUGUAUAUUGUUUAUCAAAGUUAAAAAAUUUAAUUUUUAAGAUACAUAAGAAUUAAAGGUGAGAAUUUUGAAAUUUUUUUUCCACUAUUUAUUCAACAUUUUAAAAUAAAGAGCAGAUAAAACAUAACAAUUAGUUAUUACUACAGAAAAAUAGAUUAAUGAAAAUAAAUAGAAGAUUGUGUCAGAGAUUGAGAAAUGAAACAAUCCAAUAGAAGAAGAAAAAAAAUAAAUUAAUGAAAAUGGUAAAUAAUGAUGAUAUAUAAAGGGAAAAUAUAGAUCAUUAAGUAAAAAAGUAAAGUAUUAAAUUGAUGAUAUUAGAUUGAAGACACACGCAAGUGUGGAAAGUGUAACCUUUCGUACAUUUGAGGUUGUGUUUACUAUAUAAAUAGUAGUAUAAAUAAGUAUAAAUUUACAAAAUUGGAAAAUUAGAAUUUUAAAAAUUACAAAAACUAUAAGAAUUCUUAUGAAAGGGCUUUAUCAUAUUUAGUAGUAAAUUAAUACAGUCCAACAACAAGCAAACUACAGAUUUGAUAAAACUAACUCUGGCAGUGGCCUAUAAGUAAAGGUCUUUUGUGAGGUGUGCUCUUUGUCAUUUAUGGAACUAUUUCAUCAAUUAUGAAUGUUAUGGUUCUUUUAAAAUAAUAGAAUUUUACUUUUUAAAGUGUUAUCUAUUUGUCUAUAAAAAUCUAAUAUAAACAUAGGUAUGGUAAUAGAUCCCAAGUUAGUAGAAAUAAGCAAUUGAUGUAGACAGAGAAAUGCUUAAUUGCCUAAAAAUUUUACGUAGAUGGCAUAAUAAUAAUUGAUGAUAGUGAAAUAAUCAGAAUGACAUUAGAAUUCAAUAAUUUAAAUAACAUUAAAUUUGAAAUGUAAGCAGUUUUUUUAGAUGGUUACAAUAAUAUUUUUUAAAUAUUAAUUAUUUAGAUGUUACAAUUGAAAAUUUUUUAAAAAGUAUGAAAAGCAUAUGUACAAAAGACAAUACCAUAUGAAGUUUAUUGUCACUAAAUUGAUCUAAUUUUAUUAAAAGAAGUAUAGUAUAGAAAUGUAUGUGAAACAACUAGAUCAAAUGAGAGGUUAAGAGGAAAAUAAUUUGGUUAAAAGUAGUAGAUAAAUGGUUAUAUAAGAAUAGUUCUAAUGUUAAACACAGUGGUGUUGGUAAUCAUUCGUAUUUAUAAUUCCCUUAUGUUAGACCUACUUAUCUAACUUUUUAUAUUUACUUAUUAUAUGUAUAAGUUCAGGAUUAUAAAGAAAGUGUAAAUUAAUAAAAACAAAACAAAUAAAAUUUGGAUAAAAUGGAAAUAAGUGGCAUAGUAUGUACAUGUGAAAAUAAAAAAUACUAUAUAGCCGAAAAAGAAAGGAAAUUGAAAGUUUGCAUUUUCGUGUUUUUUAAAUUUCAGUCGGAUCAAAUACAAAUUACUGUGGUAUUUUCAUUGUAAGAGUACAAACUAAUAUUGAUUAAAAUAGUGUCAUUGUAUUAUGUAAAGAAAAAAAAUUCAUUAAUUUAAAUAGUCUGAAUGUAGACAAAUGUUGGGAUGAUGUCAUACAUCAAAAUUCCGAAAGUAGAACAGUUAAAAUGUUGAAAUAUAACUUUAAAAGCUUUAAGGGAGCAAUGUUAAAUAGGACUUGUUGAAACAGGUGGUUUGUGUUUUAAGAUGUAAGUAAUGUUGGUUAAUGUAAACAACUGUAAAAUUUAAUAAUUACUGUAGAAAAGUUGAAGUAAAAACAAGACUUGCGAAAAUGAAUACAAUAGGUGGCCUUAAGGGUACUGGUUGUAAAAAAUUUAUUUAAAAAUUGUGGAUAAGGUUAGAUAAUUGUAAAAUUUAUUAUUGUAGAAAAAUGAAGGCCAGACUGUAUCACUGUCCAAAUGCGUAUUUUACAUUGGAAUUACAAAAUUCUUUACUUUAAAAUAAUACGUAUAUUAAGUUGUAAUAUUUGGUCAAUAUUGUAAAAUACUCUUCUGCAUAUAAAGUAAUCACCAGGCUCAAUAAUAUUAGU